UUUGACUCAACGCGGAAAAGCUUAUCUGGUCCGGACGCAGUGAGGAUUGACAGACAGUUUUAGGAGUGGUUCUUGGUAAACAAUUGAGAGAGUUGAAGUUCUUUCAUGAUCUUGUGAGAGGUGGUGCAUGGCCGUUCUUAGUUCGUGUAGUGAUAUGUCUGCCUAAUCGCGUCACGAUAACCUAUUGGUCGACAACCCAAUUAUCACAACUGCAGCAUAACUCCCCUUGGGUGGGCGAGGCUCUGUGUAGGAUAGACCUCUGAACAGUACGCAACGAACGCGAUCGUAAUCCCUUGUUGAGUGGCCAUCCUGUAAGCUGCUGGAUUAGGAACCCAGUGGUAUUAUCUCAGCCACAGAUUUUCUGGUUGUAAUGGGCCAGUUUUGAAACUCGGGGAACAUCUGUGACUUUCUUUCUUAACGCAGAGGAAGGUUAUGGCAAUAACAGGUCUGUGAUGCAA
rnacentral:rRNA from 1 species